UGGGGAAUAUUGCGCAAUGGGGGAAACCCUGACGCAGCGACGCCGCGUGAGCGAAGAAGGCCUUAGGGUUGUAAAGCUCUGUUUUAGGGGACGAAUAUCGAGGAUAGUAAUAUGAUCUUCGAAUGACGGUACCGUAAGAGGAAGCCCCGGCUAACUACGUGCCAGCAGCCGCGGUAAGACGUAGGGGGCGAGCGUUGUCCGGAAUUACUGGGCGUAAAGAGCACGUAGGCGGAGACUUAAGUCAGGUGUGAAAGACCGGGGCUCAACCCCGGGGUUGCACUUGAAACUGGGUCCCUUGAGGGCAGGAGAGGGAAGCAGAAUUCCUGGUGUAGCGGUGAAAUGCGUAGAAAUCAGGAGGAAUACCAGUGGCGAAGGCGGCUUUCUGGACUGACCCUGACGCUGAGGUGCGAAAGCGUGGGUAGCAAACAGG
rnacentral:rRNA from 2 species